rnacentral:rRNA from 1 species
AGUGAACGCUGGCGGUAUGCCUAACACAUGCAAGUCGAACGGCAGCACAGUAAGAGCUUGCUCUUACGGGUGGCGAGUGGCGGACGGGUGAGGAAUACAUCGGAUUCCACUUUUUCGUGGGGGAUAACGUAGGGAAACUUACGCUAAUACCGCAUACGACCUACGGCUGAAAGCAGGGGAUCUUCGCACCUUGCGCGAUUGAAUGAGCCGAUGUCGCAUUAGCUAGUUGGCGGGGUAAAGGCCCACCAAGGCGACGAUACGUAGCUGGUCUGAGAGGAUGAUCAGCCACACUGGAACUGAGACACGGUCCAGACUCCUACGGGAGGCAGCAGUGGGGAAUAUUGGACAAUGGGCGCAAGCCUGAUCCAGCAAUACCGCGUGGGUGAAGAAGGCCUUCGGGUUGUAAAGCCCUUUUGUUGGGAAAGAAAAGCAGCAGGUUAAUACGCCGCUGUUCUGACGGUACCCAAAGAAUAAGCACCGGCUAACUUCGUG